rnacentral:ribozyme from 1 species
AAUACAAAAAAGAAACAAAAAAAAUAAUGAAGAAGAAAACACACAGGACACCUACCGUCACAUAUCAUACGCGCAUGCGUGCGUGCGUGCAUGCCGACAAACCCGCCGAAUUAAUUUUUUUUUUUUUGUUUCUUCU